CGGCUCGUAUUGAUCCCUGCCGCCACGGACCUGUCGCGGUCGCGCGGCGCGGCGCAUCGCCAGUUCACGCACGGCGGCCAGCUCUUCGCUUCGCGUCGCGUUUCGCUCUCAUCUGCACCCGACAUGUUGUCGAGGUUAGUCCCCGAUGCUAGAGGCUAAAACCACCCACAGAGGUUAAGCCAGUCCUUUCCAGUCCCGUAAUUUCGAGUGGACCCUGCAGGAUUUCUUUUCAGGUGGUCUUUUGGGUGUUCAAGACAGGUUAGAGUGGUUUGUUUACGGAGCCGAUCAAGUGUCGGCAUUGAACGCUUCCGAGCGUGGCGAUGUGCUACCUUAUUGAGGUGGACUUCGACACAAAAAGUCGAACGCAGACGUUUCUAAUUUAUUGUACUCGGAAAACAAAAAUUUGUUCUGCU
rnacentral:lncRNA from 1 species